rnacentral:lncRNA from 1 species
AUUGGGAAGAAGAGGAGGUGGGGACGUGCGGAGUUGCAAGAAGGAGGCACAGAGGUGUGAGGAGGAGGCACGACGACGAGCGAAAAAUGCCCUAGUCCUAGCCCUAGCUUGGUUCGGACUCUGGAAGAGCCGAGCAUGCUGAGGAAGAGAGGAGGCGAUGCUCGAUUGUGAGGCGGUAAUCGAGGAUGACAAUAAUGGUGCGG